UGGGGAGCAAACAGGAUUAGAUACCCUGGUAGUCCACGCAGUAAACGAUGAUAACUGGUUGUCGGCGAUAUAAUGUCGGUGACUAAGCGAAAGCGAUAAGUUAUCCACCUGGGGAGUACGUUCGCAAGAAUGAAACUCAAAGGAAUUGACGGGGGCCCGCACAAGCGGAGGAACAUGUGGUUUAAUUCGAUGAUACGCGAGGAACCUUACCCGGGCUUGAAAGUUACUGACGAUUCUGGAAACAGGAUUUCCCUUCGGGGCAGGAAACUAGGUGCUGCAUGGUUGUCGUCAGCUCGUGCCGUGAGGUGUCGGGUUAAGUCCCAUAACGAGCGCAACCCCUACCGUUAGUUGCCAUCAGGUAAAGCUGGGCACUCUGGCGGGACUGCCGGUGUAAGCCGAGAGGAAGGUGGGGAUGACGUCAAAUCAGCACGGCCCUUACGUCCGGGGCUACACACGUGUUACAAUGGCAGGUACAGAGGGCAGCUACCCAGCAAUGGGAUGCGAAUCUCGAAAGCCUGUCUCAGUUCGGAUUGGAGGCUGAAACCCGCCUCCAUGAAGUUGGAUUCGCUAGUAAUC
rnacentral:rRNA from 1 species